UUUGACCUCGAUCAGGUAG
rnacentral:rRNA from 1 species